GAACGAACGCUGGCGGCGUGGAUAAGACAUGCAAGUCGAACGAAACAUCUUGUGUAGCAAUAUAUAAGAUGUUGAGUGGCGAAAGGGUGCGUAACACGUAGCUAUCUACCUUGAAAUGGGGGAUAACGCCGAGAAAUCGGUGCUAAUACCGCAUGUGACCGUGAGGUUAAAGCUGGGGAUCGUAAGACCUGGCGUUUCAAGAUGAGGCUGCGGCCUAUCAGGUAGUUGGCGGGGUAAAAGCCCACCAAGCCUAAGACGGGUAGCUGGUCUGAGAGGACGACCAGCCACACUGGAACUGAGACACGGUCCAGACACCUACGGGUGGCAGCAGUCGAGGAUUUUUCUCAAUGGGGGAAACCCUGAAGGAGCGACGCCGCGUGAGGGAUGAAGGUCUUCGGAUUGUAAACCUCUGUCAUCUGGGAUCAAAGUGCUCCACCUAACACGUGGAGUAUUGCUAGUACCAGAAGAGGAAGCAGUGGCUAACUCUGUGCCAGCAGCCGCGGUAAUACAGAGACUGCAAGCGUUGUUCGGAUUCAUUGGGCGUAAAGGGUGCGCAGGCGGUCCGGUAAGUCGGAUGUGAAAUCUCGAGGCCUAACCUCGAUUGGUCAUUCGAAACUACCGGGCUGGAGGAUUGGAGAGGAGACUGGAAUAGUUGGUGUAGCAGUGAAAUGCGUAGAGAUCAACUAGAACACCGGUGGCGAAGGCGAGUCUCUGGACAAUUCCUGACGCUCAGGCACGAAAGCCAGGGGAGCAAACGGGAUUAGAUACCCCGGUAGUCCUGGCCCUAAACGGUGUUCACUUGGUGUGCGGGGAGUCGACCCCCUGCGUGCCGCAGCUAACGCGAUAAGUGAACCGCCUGGGA
rnacentral:rRNA from 1 species